rnacentral:hammerhead_ribozyme from 1 species
GUACUUCUUAAGAGUCCCAGUUCAGGACGAAACAGCUGUCCAGUAC